UCGUUUUUUUGUCACUUUUCUCUCUUCCAUGAAAGGUAAAACACAUGCUACCAUGAAAACCUCAACAACAGCACCACCAUCAAAACAAUCUUCUCUUCUCAUCCCAUCCCAUCUCAUAUUUUGUUCUUAAUUUUAUGGCUCAUGUAAACUGGACCUUAGGGUAGGCAUUUGAAUUUGGUUUUUGGAGUUAUUUGGGGUGAUAGUGAUGGAUGAAAACUUGAGGUAGAGAGAGGGGGUUGUUGUGAUAAUGACGGAGGGAAAUUAUGGUGGUUGAAGGAGGUGACUUCUUUAUGGUUAGAAAGAUUUAGAGCAUUAAGAGAUUUUUUGAAUGAAUAAAGAUUGAAUAUGAGGAGGAAUUGGACAGUGAAGGUUAAGGUUUGUUCUAAAGCUGAGAGCUCGAGCUUCCCUCUGGAGAAAAGGAGGUUCUUGCUUUAAAUUCCUGGGUUUUUCUUUCUGGGUGUCUUUAGAUGCAUGGGAACUAGGCUCUGGAUAUGUGGUUUUAAUUGUUCUGUGCAGAAAAGUUGUGGAACACGUAUGUCUGCUCAAAGCAGAGCAGGUUGUCUGAUGAGGAUGAACAAGAUACGCUGGAUUAUCUGUAUGCAUUCCAAUAUCAAAAGCGUAGAAUUGCUGCUGUUUCUUUGGGUCACUUCCUUUUUCACUAUUCAAUUACAAUAUGCGGAAAACUGGAACAUUGGCAUACAUUUCUUGCACAUCUUGGCUUACACACAGUCAUGUACAUGCCCUGUUUUCUUUUUCUACAGGGCGAAUCUCCAAUGACAAAGUGGGAAAUUACACUCAUGCUGUUUUCAUGCGUUUCCAAGCAAAGAUUUUGCAUAGUUCUAUGAGAACCCUUUCUAUCUGAAAGUCUUCGACGAACAUGCAAUCACAAUAACUCCUAUUUUCUCUAAGAUUUUACUGGUAUUUCCUUUGACAAUCCACCAAUUUUGCCUAAAUUAGAAUCUUACCAGGUGCCUUUUCUAUUUGGCUUAGUUUCACCGCUUUGUGGUAGGAUUUAGUUAAUGUGGAUUAUGAAUCUGAAGCUGAAGAUGAUGUGCUUCCUAUAUCUCGUAAAGGAGAGGUAAACCACUUACUUCCACUUUUUUGACUGCUUCUCGUUGGUAUAUUUUGCAGCAGAGGUCUUUCAGAUGUUUGUGGGUAGUACUGGAUACAAAGAAGUAAGAAUUUUUGUCUUCUGUUCACCUUUCAAUUAUCAGUCUUUAAAUUAUCCAUGGAUGCUUCAGUGUCAUAUCUUGAAUAGUGGACUCUCUCUGGGAAUUUAUAUUUAACUCUGUAAUUCUGAUGUUAUAGUUUAUUUUGUGAUUUGUCUUCGUGCUCAUAGAUGUUGAGGCAUGAAUGAAAGGGUACUUUCCACUCACUGUUUUUAUUUAUAGGAACAAACAUUCAGGUAAGCAUACUCAAAUUAUGAUUUCAGCUUAGUCAUUUAUUCAGAUUUUUAUCAUUAGUCACUUCAAUUUCCUUUCCCAGUUACUUCCUUUGAUAGUUGGAACAAGUAAAAUACAGAUUCUCACUUUGCCUCUUGCCAUAUAAUUUAGUACAUAAUUUAAGUGGUAUAGUGAUGCAGCCUAGAGAUUUAAGCAGCUUCAUAUUUGUAAUUUCAGUAAAUUUCCAGUAGAAAGGACUCUUUUCUGUAAACCCUAAAGGUGGUGCUUAGGUUCUUACUCAAGUAGUGUUUCCUUGUAUCUGUUUUCAAUUUCAAAGUCCCUGAAUCACUUUAUUCCAUAGCCAUAACCCUAUAAACAAACAUAUAUCUUAGAUUUGUCCUGUAUCAUAUAGAUGUUCAGGCUACAAAUGUGAUGGUUUGAAUUGAAGGCCGACUUGCUUGCUUCUGUCUAAAGGUUGAAUCUCCAUAUCUAGUGAAGAUAAGUCUCGAUUUGUCUCUUGGGACAUCGUUUAAACUGAGCAGCAUACCUGUGACUGUUCAAUCUGUCUAUCCCAUUGGAUUCUUCGAAGCCAGUGACAGAAAAAUGAAUCUACAGCAGUGUCAAUGCCUCUCCUAAUCCUCUUUUUUUUUUUAACCUUCAAAAAACAUCAAGUUUACUAUUGGACUAUAUACCUGAAGAGAAUAGUAAUAAUAUAUUAUUUGACAUUAAUCAGUAGUUAAACUGUUUGAAUUGCCCUUAUUUUUAAAAUCAUGCUGGCUACAUCUUAGAUCCUUGCAUGCACUAGCGACUUAGAGAGAGGAAUCCACUUCAGUUUCAAAA